rnacentral:rRNA from 1 species
GAUGAACGCUAGCUACAGGCUUAACACAUGCAAGUCGAGGGGAAACGACAUCGAAAGCUUGCUUUUGAUGGGCGUCGACCGGCGCACGGGUGAGUAACGCGUAUCCAACCUGCCCAUCACUUGGGAAUAACCUUGCGAAAGUAAGACUAAUACCCAAUGAUAUCCCACGAAGGCAUCGGAAUGGGAUUAAAGAUUUAUCGGUGAUGGAUGGGGAUGCGUCUGAUUAGCUUGUUGGCGGGGUAACGGCCCACCAAGGCAACGAUCAGUAGGGGUUCUGAGAGGAAGGUCCCCCAGAAUGGAACUGAGACACGGUCCAAACUCCUACGGGAGGCAGCAGUGAGGAAUAUUGGGCAAUGGGCGAGAGCCUGAACCAGCCAAGUAGCGUGCAGGAAGACGGCCAUAUGGGUUGUAAACUGCUUUUAUAAGGGAAUAAAGUGGGUCACGUGUGACUUUUUGCAUGUACCUUAUGAAUAAGGACCGGCUAAUUCCGUG